GAUGAAGAACGCAGCGAAAUGCGAUAAGUGAUGUGAAUUGCAGAAUUCAGUGAAUCAUCGAAUCUUUGAACGCACAUUGCGCCCGCCAGCAUUCUGGCGGGCAUGCCUGUUCGAGCGUCAUUUCAACCCUCGAGCCCCCCCGGGGGCCUCGGUGUUGGGGGACGGCACACCAGCCGCCCCCGAAAUGCAGUGGCGACCCCGCCGCAGCCUCCCCUGCGUAGUAGCACACACCUCGCACCGGAGCGCGGAGGCGGUCACGCCGUAAAACGCCCAACUUUCUUAGAGUUGACCUCGGAUCAGGUAGGAAUACCCGCUGAACUUAAGCAUAUCAAUAAGCGGAGGA
rnacentral:misc_RNA from 1 species